rnacentral:rRNA from 1 species
CACGUAGGCGGAUUGGCAAGUUGGGGGUGAAAUCCCAGGGCUCAACCCUGGAACUGCCUCCAAAACUUCCAGUCUUGAGGUCGAGAGAGGUGAGUGGAAUUCCGAGUGUAGAGGUGAAAUUCGUAGAUAUUCGGAGGAACACCAGUGGCGAAGGCGGCUCACUGGCUCGAUACUGACGCUGAGGUGCGAAAGCGUGGGGAGCAAACA